rnacentral:lncRNA from 1 species
CCCAGGUUAAGAACUCCUCCUGUAUGAAGAGUGCGAAUUUGACAGGGAGACCAUUUCUUUUGAAGGGAUCCAAUGGGAACCGAGCCAGGGAGGACAUGCUCUUCUAAAGGGGGGCUGCUUACCAUUGAUGAAAAGACUGUCACUGUCCGGGGUUAGGGUUAGGGUCCGGGUCCCUGCUACCCAGAAAGGUGAGCUCAGCCCAUCUCUUGCAUUCAUCUAGGGCCACCUGGGCUGGUAUCCACCAGACGGAGAUGCUAGCCCUGUAGCGUGACUUUUCUUUUUUCAAAGAAAAGGUUUUUAAGUAUUUUUUGGGUGGGCACAACCAGAUCAGAUCCCAGGAAAUAUUCCUUUUCCUUACAGCUGAACCAGUUCUUCAGAAACAGCAGCAUCAAGAGCUAUUUCUCUGACUGUCACGUGCAGACCUUUUGCUGAGGAUUUUCCCCAGGAACAACUCCAUCUAGGACUCCACUUUUCUGUCUAGCUUCUCAUCCCCACCAUUACAGCAAGCAGCUCUUGGUGGAGACCAGUUCCCAGAACAGACCAUGUUCAGGACACACGAACCCUUCUCUAACCCCUUUCUCUGGUGUGCCUCAGGAACCUGGUGUUUCCCUCUUCUCUUUCCUUCCUUCCCAACUCCCUUCUUCCCUUCGAAAAGCUGCCUCAAACCAGCAGCCAGAGAAAGGCCCAGAAGAUACAGAAAGCAGUAUGUUGCCAAACUGCCUGGGUGAACAAUUCAUCCGUUAAUCCACCAAUCAACAAGCAUUUAUAAAUCUGCCACGAUGUGCCAAGCAGUGGGACACGUGCUGGGGAAUAUAGAGAGAUAACAUGUAUAUCUAUACACAUAUAGAAGCAAUUCGCCUUUCAAUAAGGUUUUAAGCAGCAUACUCGAAGUAUCAGGCACAGGGCAAAAGAUACAAAAAUAAAGCCAUCCGUGUCCUCAAGGAGCUUACCAUCUAGAUGCAUGUAUUCACAAAACACGUAAGAACUAAGCCUAGUUUUGGUGGGGAGGUGUAGGAAAGCAGGGCCAGAAGCCUGCUCAGCAUGGCCCAGCUCCCCUGAGGCCAUCACUGCUCCUGUCUUCUCCUCCCUACCUGCCUUCUUCCUCUCUCAUUCACCCACACCCUGCCCUCUUCUUCUUUAGGCUCCUCUCUCCCAGACACCUCACAGAAGUGGACUGCUCGUGUGACUUCACAUCAGCCGCUCAGGCCCGGAACUUUGACAGGGCCUCUACGUACCAAGAGGAUAUUCUACCAAGAGAACAGAUGAAAAAACUAAGAAAAUUGGUUACCAUGUGCCUGAGGAAAAACGAAGGACGUUACAAAGUCCAAACAAUAAGCUCUUACCUCUACCACCUGGACCCCAGGAAAAUUCAUUAACAAUGGACUGUGAUAAAAAUGUAGCAGAACCCAGGGGCUGAAGUGCAUUGGACUUGGGCUGGAAUAAACACUGGGCCUCACUCA